AUGAAGUGGUGUCGCGAAAGGGAUGGGAGUCCUGCAUUACAAAUUUACAUAUGUAAACUCAUGAAUGCCAAUAUAAAUUCUGAAUCCAAAUUAUUUGGCAUUUAUGCAAAUCAGAUCAGUGGAAAUAUACCAAAAAGAGGAUAUAUGCACUCGAGAGCAUUACCCGUAUUUCCCAAAGAAAAUAAUUGGAGUAAAUUUAAUUGCUCUAGCAAUCUUCACAAUCAACUUGCCACCUGGCCUCCACCACUUGUACACAAGGCUCUAAUAGACAAUAGCACAAAUAUAUUCAUUUCAAAGUUAGGUGGCCUGUUCAAGUCAGCAACCCAUCCACUUCCAUCAACAUAA
rnacentral:rRNA from 1 species